CUAGGACGAGGUGUCCUUGUAGACCUGUGUCCAUCUUUUGGGCGAUGCUUCAUUGCGCGAUAUUGGUGAUGACCACGAUGAUGCUAAUGAUGGGCAGCGUGAUAAACUUAGUGUUCACAUUCACCAUGAUGUUAUUGCUGUUGACGAAGAGAAUGUAACUUAUGUCAAUGAUGCUGUGGUAGGGGAUGUCACCUUUCAAUCAGAUGAUGCUGAAGAAGACCAUGUUCUUGAGGCCGAUUCGAUUAUCGAUGCAUCUUUGGGAGGGAAAGGGGACCUUCACUUAGGUGAGGCUAAAAAGGACCAUCUUCCUAAGGCCGAUGCAGUAGUCAAGGCAAUAGCAUGAGGGGAUCGGAACCUUGCAUUAGUUCUGGCUGAAGGGGACCAUCUUCAUCAGAGCACUCCUAAAGGCAGCGCGUCAUGGGUGUCUUUACUAGAGUUGUCUGAUGUCCAUCAUCUUGAAGCACUGAUUUCAGACCCAACUGAAAGGGCACGGGUCAAAAUGGUCAGCAAAUACAUGGCAAGCCCGUAUGUUAAUCUGUCAGUGAGCUAUCGGGAUGUUAAUAACUCAAUGGUGGAAGGGUACAAAGCUUUCAAUAAAGACAAGCGUAACGUCGAGAUCUUAGGGGAUCAAGAGGCUGACAUUUUCACAACGUUAGAGGAUCCCAAAGAGGAAAUGACAAGUGAACAAAUAGACGCAUGCCUCAGCAUACUCUGUAAGCGAAUGACAGGGCCAAAGUUGAAACUGUACAACAGUCGUGCAUACGUGGUUGAUACGAUAUUCUUCACACCAUCCAUAUGCUCUACACCGCAUUUUCAAUUGAAAGGUGAAGGGUAAGAGGCCAAUAUACAGUAAAAAAUGGGAAGAUGUCGAUUUCAUCCUCGCACCUUGCAAUGUGGGUGGGCAUUGGGUGGUUGCGAAGAUCAACUUGGUCAGGUGGACAAUCAAGGUGGUGGACUCCGCAAGAACUUCAGAUGCUAAGGAUAACAAUGUGCGUGUGGCUCAAAUGACACCCCUUAUGACAAUGAUCCCAAUCAUCUGCCACAAAGCUAGUUAUUUCCACAAAACGAGUCGAAAGACAUGAGAUUCGAUGCUAAUGCCAUUGAAAAUUCAUUUGUCAAAAGCUAAAGUGCAUCGGCAGAAUGAUAGUGUUAGCUACAGUAUGUUCACCAUAGGGUACAUUGACGAUAUUUUGCAAUCGAAACCAAUCAAAGUUAAGCAGAAUAUGAUUGCUAAUAUGCAUCGCCAAUACGUUCUAGAAAUUUUUUUUCAACAAUUGUGAGAACGAACCCUAAACAUA